rfam:Apaloderma vittatum contig58570, whole genome shotgun sequence.
UAGCUCAGUCGGUUGGAGCGUGGUGCUGAUAACACCAAGAUCGCAGGUUCGAUCCCCGU